rnacentral:tRNA from 1 species
GCGCCUGUAGCUCAGCGGAUUAGAGCAUCUCGCUUCGGACGAGAGGGUCGGGGGUUCAAUUCCCUCCAGGCGCGCCA